GUGUCAGCAGCCGCGGUAAGACGGAGGAGGCAAGCGUUGUCCGGAAUCAUUGGGCGUAAAGAGCGCGUAGGCGGUUUUUCAAGUCGUAUGUGAAAACUUCAGGCUUAACCUGAUGAUUGCAUAUGAAACUGGAUAACUUGAGUACAGCAGAGGAAAGUGGAAUUCCUGGUGUAGCGGUGAAAUGUGCAGAUAUCAGGAAGAACACCAGUAGCGAAGGCGGCUUUCUGGACUGUUACUGACGCUGAGGCGCGAAAGGUAGGGUAGCGAACAGUAUUAGAUACCCUGGUAGUCCUAGCCGUAAACGAUGGACACUAGGCGUGGGAAGUUAUCGACGCUUUCUGUGCCGAAGCUAACGCAUUAAGUGUCCCGCCUGGGGAGUACGGCCGCAAGGCUAAAACUUAAAUGAAUUGGCGGGG
rnacentral:rRNA from 1 species